rnacentral:tRNA from 1 species
CGGGCGACUGGUGUAAAGGUGAACACGCCCGCCUCGCGGCGGGAGUUUGAGUCCGGGUUCGAGUCCCGGUCCGCCGAA